AAAUUGAAGAGUUUGAUCAUGGCUCAGAUUGAACGCUGGCGGCAGGCCUAACACAUGCAAGUCGAGCGGAAACGAGUUAACUGAACCUUCGGGGAACGUUAACGGCGUCGAGCGGCGGACGGGUGAGUAAUGCCUAGGAAAUUGCCCUGAUGUGGGGGAUAACCAUUGGAAACGAUGGCUAAUACCGCAUGAUGCCUACGGGCCAAAGAGGGGGACCUUCGGGCCUCUCGCGUCAGGAUAUGCCUAGGUGGGAUUAGCUAGUUGGUGAGGUAAGGGCUCACCAAGGCGACGAUCCCUAGCUGGUCUGAGAGGAUGAUCAGCCACACUGGAACUGAGACACGGUCCAGACUCCUACGGGAGGCAGCAGUGGGGAAUAUUGCACAAUGGGCGCAAGCCUGAUGCAGCCAUGCCGCGUGUGUGAAGAAGGCCUUCGGGUUGUAAAGCACUUUCAGUCGUGAGGAAGGUAGUGUAGUUAAUAGCUGCAUUAUUUGACGUUAGCGACAGAAGAAGCACCGGCUAACUCCGUGCCAGCAGCCGCGGUAAUACGGAGGGUGCGAGCGUUAAUCGGAAUUACUGGGCGUAAAGCGCAUGCAGGUGGUUUGUUAAGUCAGAUGUGAAAGCCCGGGGCUCAACCUCGGAAUAGCAUUUGAAACUGGCAGACUAGAGUACUGUAGAGGGGGGUAGAAUUUCAGGUGUAGCGGUGAAAUGCGUAGAGAUCUGAAGGAAUACCGGUGGCGAAGGCGGCCCCCUGGACAGAUACUGACACUCAGAUGCGAAAGCGUGGGGAGCAAACAGGAUUAGAUACCCUGGUAGUCCACGCCGUAAACGAUGUCUACUUGGAGGUUGUGGCCUUGAGCCGUGGCUUUCGGAGCUAACGCGUUAAGUAGACCGCCUGGGGAGUACGGUCGCAAGAUUAAAACUCAAAUGAAUUGACGGGGGCCCGCACAAGCGGUGGAGCAUGUGGUUUAAUUCGAUGCAACGCGAAGAACCUUACCUACUCUUGACAUCCAGAGAACUUUUCAGAGAUGAAUUGGUGCCUUCGGGAACUCUGAGACAGGUGCUGCAUGGCUGUCGUCAGCUCGUGUUGUGAAAUGUUGGGUUAAGUCCCGCAACGAGCGCAACCCUUAUCCUUGUUUGCCAGCGAGUAAUGUCGGGAACUCCAGGGAGACUGCCGGUGAUAAACCGGAGGAAGGUGGGGACGACGUCAAGUCAUCAUGGCCCUUACGAGUAGGGCUACACACGUGCUACAAUGGCGCAUACAGAGGGCGGCCAACUUGCGAAAGUGAGCGAAUCCCAAAAAGUGCGUCGUAGUCCGGAUUGGAGUCUGCAACUCGACUCCAUGAAGUCGGAAUCGCUAGUAAUCGUGGAUCAGAAUGCCACGGUGAAUACGUUCCCGGGCCUUGUACACACCGCCCGUCACACCAUGGGAGUGGGCUGCAAAAGAAGUAGGUAGUUUAACCUUCGGGGGGACGCUUACCACUUUGUGGUUCAUGACUGGGGUGAAGUCGUAACAAGGUAGCGCUAGGGGAACCUGGCGCUGGAUCACCUCCUUAUACGAUGAU
rnacentral:rRNA from 2 species